GACGACACUGACUUGGGUGCCACGUCGUGGCAGCCUGCGUCUGAGCAUGUGACCACGCAGCCCACUGACGACACUGACUUGGGUGCCACGUCGUGGCAGCCUGCGUCUGAGCAUGUGCCCACUGACGACACUGACUUGGGUGCCACGUCGUGGCAGCCUGCGUCUGAGCAUGUGACCACGCAGCCCACUGACGACACUGACUUGGGUGCCACGUCG